UCGGGAAUUUUGGGCAAUGGGCGAAAGCCUGACCCAGCAACGCCGCGUGAGGGAUGAAGUGUUUCGGUAUGUAAACCUCGAAAGAAUGGGAAGAAUAAAUGACGGUACCAUUUAUAAGCUCCGGCUAACUACGUGCCAGCAGCCGCGGUAAUACGUAGGGAGCAAGCGUUGUUCGGAUUUACUGGGCGUAAAGGGCGCGUAGGCGGCGCGGUAAGUCACUUGUGAAAUCUCUGAGCUUAACUCAGAACGGCCAAGUGAUACUGCUGUGCUAGAGUGCGGAAGAGGCAACCGGAAUUCUUGGUGUAGCGGUGAAAUGCGUAGAUAUCAAGAGGAACACCUGAGGCGAAGGCGGGUUGCUGGGCCGACACUGACGCUGAUGCGCGAAAGCCAGGGGAGCAAACG
rnacentral:rRNA from 1 species